UUUUAUCCUGUCACUUGUACUAGUUUUAAUAAAAUGCUGAUUGGCCAGUAGUCAGGCAGGAAGUAUAGGCAGGGCAACCAGGCAGGAAGUAGAUGUGGGGAGAUGAGAACAGGAGAAUUUAGGGAAAGGAAAGAUGCUGUCUGCAGUCGUCACCCAGACACAGAGGAAGCAAGAUGAGAAUGCCUCGCUGAUGAAAGGUACCAAGCCACAUGGCUAACACAGACAAGAGUUAUGGGCUAAUAUAAGAUUAAUGUAGACCUCUGUUUUUCUUUGGGACUGAAUGACUGUGGGUCCAGGUGGGACAGAAACCUCAGCCAACACUGAUGCCCUCUAUGUAGACCAGGCUGGCCUCAAACUCAGAGAUCCAGCUGUCUCUACCUCUCAAGUUUCUUUCUUAAUGGCCCUUGCCAGCUAUUUCUCUCUCCUGAAGACUGCUGUCCUGCCAACCAGCCAACCUAAUAUAUACUAGAUCUUAACAAUGAGCUUCCUGGAUACGAAGGACCUUACAAUAUUUAAUAAAUAACAUAUGGCCUUUGUAUGCUGAUUGGCCAACAACAGGGGGACCAUGUUGUGAAUGAGAGGUCCUAGAAAUAGACUGGAUUUGCUUAUUGAGACUGAUGGACUGAUUAGAACCACAACAGUGUGGAAAGGUUCGAAUAUUGCAGGUAAAAAUGUUAAUUAUGUUAUCUCCAGGUUGCCUUAGCCUCCUGAACUACCAGUCCUUGCCUGCCUCUAACAUCAGGACUAACAUCUCGUGAAGACAGAUAAACCCCUUUUGAAAUCUAUUAACUGAGCAGAUGACUAGCUGCCACCGACUCAGAAGCCUGACAAUGUCAUCGGAUAACAUCUUAGGCCUGCAGCAAGGCUUCUGCCAUCUUGUGGUACCCACCUCUCUGAUAGACCCACCCAUGUGUUUUAAACUUGUCUUCUUAUGACUCUCUUUGUUCUACAAAACUAUGAACUUUCAGGAAGCUACUUUCACAUGGAGACGUGGAAUUUGGGGUAACCUAAAUCUAUGUAGCUGGACCACAGCCACUGAAAAUGGUUCCAGAACAAACUAUGUCUUAUUCCCUUUAGGAAAACAGCUGUUUGCUGUGUGGACAGAACAAGAGGUCUGUGCUGUCUGCGAAGUGCAGGAACCAGUCAACGAGGGCCUGAGCUGGGCACAGCAGCUGAAGCUUUGUUACAUGGCAUCUCAGGCUGGUGCCACAGAUAGGUUCUCCCGGAAACACCUGGACUCUUCGGAACAGUCCCAAGCAUCUCCAGCAGCCUAGCAAAUACCAUUUCCUGUUGCCUCCAAGAUGCAGGGCUCUCAGCUACCUCUCCAGCACUAUGUCUGUCUGCAUGCUGCCAUGUCCAUGAUGAUAAUGGACUGAACCUCUGAAGUGUUUCCUAUGCUCAGGAUACCACCCAGCAUCCCAACUGACUUGAUGUUGCCUACAUGUCUGCAAGACAGAAGACUCUCAGCUACUUCUCCAGCACCAUGUCUGUCUGCAUGCCGCCAUACUGCCUGCCCUGAUGAUGACGAAUUUAGUGUCUGAAUUUGUUGAAAUGAAACAGCCAUGCCCUGACGUUUUCUGUGUCAACUCCAGACAUUCUGCACACCAGACCCACAGAGAUUGGUUUGUGUGUAAGAGGAAGCCCUGCUAGGAAGGCCACAGGGCAGGCAGGCGGGCAUCCCGAGUGCCUGCGUUUCUGCCAUGGGCCAUGAUUGGUCUUUGGGAGCAUUCAAAAUAAGGAAUCCUGCUUUGAGGUUUUGUUUUAUAAUAAUAAAGAUAUAUUUUUUUAAAGUGCCUUAAGGACUUCUAGUUCCGCCUAGACCAAAGGAAGACCCAAGCAGGGCCAGUGAGUGAGUGGUGAUACUGUAGCAUGUUUAUAGGAGCAUGUCACCAGGA